ensembl:lncRNA
GUAUUGGAAGGAAUUGAUCUUUAGCCAAACCUAGUGUGAUUUGUAUUGGAAGGAAUUGAUCUUUAGCCAAACCUAGUGUGAUUUGUAUUGGAAGGAAUUGAUCUUUAGCCAAACCUAGUGUGAUUUGUAUUGGACAUAAUUGUAAAGUGACUAUUGAAGAAUAGCUGAAGAAACUUAUUGCAUUGAAGCGUGGUCUUGCAAACGUCAAGCUGUGAGUUCCGUACACGAAGCUGGUGAACUUGUGGGACUUCAGUCAUGAUAAUUGAUUUGUCCUUGAUGUAACAGUUUCAGCUGUGCAUGAAAUGAGUAAAACAUGAAAUUACAUUUGAAUUUGGAUUUUCUUGGCAUUUUACUUUUUACAAAAUAUAUAAAAAUUUUAAAAAGGCAAAUGUUGUUGAAAGCCAUUAGAUUUUUAUUAUAAAGCAACUAAUCCUUGAAAUACUAUUUGCACUUUCAUAGUCUAUACCUUAUACAUUCCCUCUUGAAAUGAAAAACAUACUGUUUUGAUGUGUGGCCAAUAAACAUUGAAUUUUACUACUGGGUGGAAUGUUUUUUUUUUCCCAAUACAAAAACAUAAACAUCUAUAUCAAUCUUAACCAGUGCUUUCUAUGGAGUUGUACCUUUUUAUAUUUGAGUCAUUUACCAGACGUAAUGUCAUUUUUGUUAUAAAACAUCUAUAUUUCUAUCACCAUCAGUGCUGUUUUCUAUUGAGUUUUACUUCUGAGAUUAAUGUUAUUUUUUAUUAUUAUAAAAUAUUCGAAAACAAAUAAAAUGUUCAGCAACACUUUCUAUUAUCUACAUUCAUACAGUCCCGUCAAAGUAUUUAUACCACUUUGACCUGUUCCACAUUUUGUUGUUAAAGCCUGAAUUCAAAAUGGAUUAAAUGUAUUGUGUGGUUUUUUUCUCACCCAUCUAUACACAAUACCCUGUAAUGACAUCACAAUACCCCGUAAUGACAUCACAAUACCCCGUAAUGACAUCACAAUACCCCGUAAUGACAUCACAAUACCCCG